rnacentral:rRNA from 1 species
UACGUAGGGGCAAGCGUUGUCCGGAUUUAUUGGGCGUAAAGAGCGUGUAGGCGGCCGCACAGGUCCGUUGUGAAAACUGGAGGCUUAACCUUCAGACGUCGAUGGAAACCGUGCGGCUAGAGUCCGGAAGAGGAGAAUGGAAUUCCUGGUGUAGCGGUGAAAUGCGCAGAUAUCAGGAGGAACACCGAUGGCGAAGGCAGGUCUCUGGGCCACUACUGACGCUGAGAAGCGAAAGCAUGGGGAGCGAACAGG